rnacentral:rRNA from 1 species
UACGGAGGAUGCGAGCGUUAUCCGGAUUUAUUGGGUUUAAAGGGUGCGUAGGCGGAUCGUUAAGUCAGUGGUCAAAUUGAGGGGCUCAACCCCUUCCCGCCAUUGAAACUGGCGAUCUUGAGUGGAAGAGAAGUAUGCGGAAUGCGUGGUGUAGCGGUGAAAUGCAUAGGUAUCACGCAGAACCCCGAUUGCGAAGGCAGCAUGCCGGCUUCCUACUGACGCUGAGGCACGAAAGCGUGGGUAUCGAACAGG